rnacentral:rRNA from 1 species
UACGAAGGGGGCUAGCGUUGCUCGGAAUCACUGGGCGUAAAGGGUGCGUAGGCGGGUCUUUAAGUCAGAGGUGAAAUCCUGGAGCUCAACUCCAGAACUGCCUUUGAUACUGGGGAUCUCGAGUCCGGGAGAGGUGAGUGGAACUGCGAGUGUAGAGGUGAAAUUCGUAGAUAUUCGCAAGAACACCAGUGGCGAAGGCGGCUCACUGGCCCGGAACUGACGCUGAGGUGCGAAAGCGUGGGGAGCAAACAGG